rnacentral:lncRNA from 1 species
AAAGAUGAGACAAAUCUAUUAUAAAUGUUGUAUAAGCUUGACAGAGAAAAUUAGAAAUUAGAAAUCAUCAAAGAGGUAGAGAAAGAACAGAAAAACCGUACCAUCUUCUACUAGAGCAACAACUAUUUGAGACAUGAGAAGCACACACUGCAACCCAUUUAUCCUUGGAGUUAGAGACAAAACAAGUGUCUUUUAUCUAAGAUUCUAGGUUUUCAGUCCUUAGUGACAGUACCGGAGUCACCGGUUCAACACCUUAUUCCGGUAGCUCAAGCACCGGUUCGACACCUUCGCCUCCGCCUGAUCCACUCGAACCAACCACUACCGAAAUAGAUUCCACCGCCGCGGGCAUCGCUAACUGAACCGCACAACACAAGCAUAAAAUUUACAUCUAUAUAUCAUUGGAGAAAAUUUUUUCCCACUUAAUCUUUUCUCCAAUGUGGGUAUUUCUCACAAUCUUCAAAAUUUAAAACUAAUCAAAAUUUAGAUAUACCAUUUACUUAAAAUUAAUCCAAAUUUAGGCAUAAUCAACUUCCAUCAAAGAGGUUUACAGAUACAAUAAAAUUGAUUAUAUUUGGUCAAAGGUAAUCUCGCAGUAAUCAAGUUCAAUUCUGUCACUUGGAAAGAGAGGCAGAGUUUCAGAUCAUACAGUCUCUUGAGUCUUAAAAUUUGAUAGAUGGGUGGAGAAAGAGUGGGACAUGUCUGAGUUAAUCAUUGUUAAGGGAAUCUUGGUAAGAAUGAUCUGUUGACGACAUAGAUUGUUUGUGGGUAUGAUUGGUUUCAGUUCCACCGUCGUCGUCAUCGUCAUCAUCAUUUUCUUCAUGAUCGGCUUCACUGGCAGUCUCGAAUUCGUUAAAGGCCGCAACAGUCUAAUCCACUCGAACUAGCCACUGUCAGAACAGAUUUCAUCGCCUCAGGCGCCGCUAACUGAACCGCACGAGCCUGUGAUGAAAAUCCAUCAACGAAUUUCACCAUAGUGGCUUUAGCCGAAGUCUCUUGCUCUUCCUCUCGAUACGCAAAUCUCUAAAUCACUUGGAGCACAGGUUAUUCGUUGUCGCUGUGUCGAUGAAACCGUAACCGUUGGCGCACAGGGCCGACACUGAUGGCUAGAAGCUGAUGUCAUCGUUCUUCCCUUUAGAACUCAUCUUUCUCUCUCUAAAAAUUAAAAGGAUUGAAUAUUAAAU